rnacentral:rRNA from 1 species
UGGUAAGGUAAUGGCUUACCAAGGCAACGAUGGGUAGCCGGCUUGAGAGAGUGAACGGCCACACUGGAACUGAGACACGGUCCAGACUCCUACGGGAGGCAGCAGUGGGGAAUAUUGCACAAUGGAGGGAACUCUGAUGCAGCGACGCCGCGUGAGCGAUGAAGGCUUUCGGGUCGUAAAGCUCUGUCCUAGGGGACGAUAAUGACGGUACCCUAGGAGGAAGCCCCGGCUAACUACGUGCCAGCAGCCGCGGUAAUACGUAGGGGGCGAGCGUUGUCCGGAAUUAUUGGGCGUAAAGGGUACGCAGGCGGCCAUGUAAGUCAGAUGUGAAAGACAUAGGCUUAACCUAUGUAAGCAUUUGAAACUGCUUGGCUUGAGUUAAGGAGAGGAAAGUGGAAUUCCUAGUGUAGCGGUGAAAUGCGUAGAUAUUAGGAAGAAUAUCAGUGGCGAAGGCGACUUUCUGGACUUAUACUGACGCUGAGGUACGAAAGCGUGGGGAGCAAACAGGAUUAGAUACCCUGGUAGUCCACGCCGUAAACGAUGAGUGCUAGGUGUCGGGGGUCAAACCUCGGUGCCGCCGUUAA